rnacentral:lncRNA from 1 species
ACAUAUACUUUACCUUCUAAUAUAUAAUAAAAUAAUAGAAUAUAUAUUUUUUCUUACUGAAUAAGAGCCUAAAUAAAUACCAAUUCAUUUCAUCAAUAGAGCUACGUUUUCUCUACUGUCAAAUACAUCCAAAAAUCUCCUUUCCCCAUCGAUAAGAAUAGUGAAAUGACUUUUAUGCUUAUGAACAAUUUGAUCAAUCAUUCAUGAUCCUUUUCCAACUCUUCCAUCACCCCUACUUCUUCCAGUUCCUGCAUCAAUCACCAUUAAUUCAUAGUUCUUGCAACAAUCAUCAUUAAUCCAUUCUUAGUAUUUUCUCUUAUGUUGUAGCAAUACUACUUUUGUUUACUGUCGAAACAAUGUUGUGUGUAAUUUUAUAAUUCUUAUUAACUCUAAAAGUAGUGUAAAAGGCACCUUAGGUCCUAAGAACAAGCCAAAUAGGACAUCAUUGAACUUCUCUGAAUGAUGAAGC